CGGUGGACCAUGCUUCAGCACAGGAGCCUCUGGUGGACACGCAAGCUCCGCAUGAUAGCUGUGACUUCCUGCUGACCUCAUAAGCACAGCCUCCUUCCUGCCGGCUCUCACAACGGGGGACCAGAAGGCCAUUCACUGCUCUGUCAACGCUCUCUUACAUUCUGAUGACAUCAGUGGAUGGACUUGACCAGUCUGAGUUGGGCCAUGUGGGAGAGCGGAAGGGGCAGAGGAACAAUAUGCUGCAGCCAGGAGGCCAAAGGUACAAAAGAGGGUGAGGUGAGCCAGCAACGCUUGCACAGUAGAGGACUCGGUGGAACUUUCCAGUUUCAAGCCCUGUACACCCGGAGCUGGCACCUCCGUGGGGGAGAGUCGUCAGAACACAGCACUACCAAGUCUGUUCUCUCCUUCUACCUUCACAUGGGUUCCAGGGAUCGAACUCACAGUGUCAGCUGAACUGCCCUCGUUGGAGGAAGCUCAGAAAGUUACAAGAGUCACAAGCCCCAUGGUUCUAAGAGUAAUAAGCUAUUGCUGAGGAGAGGAGACUAUUCUGUAGCCCUGCCUGCAGGUCUGCAGGGAGCUCCGUGGAUACAGCCCUCCCACUCCACCACCAUGCUGGAGAGGGAUUUGGGGGAAGGCAGCUGCCUCCGAGGCCUCAAGUUCCUGCACAACAAUAGACGGUGGGAAGGAAGAAAAUCAUGAAACCCUCAACAAAUGUUUCUUAACUGAAAAUCUCAGCCAUGUAAAUGUCAUGAUGCCUAAAAUUCCUGCUGCAGAAGGUCACAGCCAUGUCACAGCAUGAGGAUCCUGAAGGCAGAACCAGUGUGCUCCAACUUCUCCUCAAGUAACGAAAGCAGAUGAGAACCCAUCCAUCCCCUGGGAAUCUGGAGUUGGAGCUUGAAGCUGUUCCCAGGAAAAAGACUUUGAACCUUGCCCUUUGACCUGAAGUUCACAAAGAGCUUGGGCCUCAUGGUGCUUUCCAUGGAGCAUCACUGGGCUUAUGGAUCCAGCUAAGCCACCUGCCGCCAUCUGAAUCUUAAGCCCAUGUUGGUGCUGUUGGGAAGCAAAAGACCAUUAAGGGCAUGGUUCCAAAGAAGGCUGUGAGAUCAUAGUCUCACAUCUUUUCUUCUCUCAGCUUUGCUCCCCUGAUGUUGUUGCAUACGGUUUUUCUCUGCCACACGUUUUACAGACCUUAAACAGCAGUUAGACAGUGUGGUCUGGAAGCUCCUUCUUUAUACGUUAUUUCGGGGAUAUUGCUGCACUGGUGGAAAGCUGAUUAGCUCCCAGCCCAAAUGCAUAUAGGAUAAGCA
rnacentral:lncRNA from 1 species